rnacentral:rRNA from 1 species
GAUGAACGCUGGCGGCGUGCCUAACACAUGCAAGUCGAGCGGUAUAUACUUUAUCAAAUCUUCGGAAGAGAGACGGUAUAGAGAGAGGCGGACGGGUGAGUAACGCGUAGGCAACCUGCACCAUACAGAGGGAUGGCCUCGGGAAACAGGGAUUAAAACCUCAUAACGCGAAAGAGUCACAUGGCUUUUUCGCAAAAGAUUUAUCGGUAUGGGAUAGGCCUGCGUCUGAUUAGCUAGUUGGUGGGGUAACGGCCUACCAAGGCGACGGUCAGUAGCCGACCUGAGAAGGUAAUCGGCCACAUUGGAACUGAGACACGGUCCAAACUCCUACGGGAGGCAGCAGUGGGGAAUAUUGCACAAUGGGCGAAAGCCUUAUGCAGCAACGCCGCGUGAGCGAUAAAGGCCUUUUGGUCGUAAAGCUCUGUCCUUGGGGAAGAAUAAAUGACGGUACCCUUGGAGGAAGCCCCGGCUAACUACGUGCCAGCAGCCGCCGUAA